GAAAGAACAACAGGGAUUGCCUCAGUAGCGGCGAGUGAAGCGGCAAAAGCUCAGAUUUGAAAUCCGGCGGCCUUCGGUCACCCGAGUUGUAAUCUGGAGAGGAUACCACGGCGAGACCCCCGGCCCAAGUCCCUUGGAACAGGGCGCCUUAGAGGGUGAGAGCCCCGUACCCGGCGGGCGGGUUUAGCCAUGUGUGGUUCCUUCGACGAGUCGAGUUGUUUGGGAAUGCAGCUCAAACUGGGUGGUAAAUUCCAUCUAAAGCUAAAUACCGGCGGGAGACCGAUAGCGCACAAGUAGAGUGAUCGAAAGAUGGAAAGCACUUUGAAAAGAGAGUUAAAAAGUACGUGAAAUUGUUGAAAGGGAAGCGCUUGCCAUCAGAAUCGGUACCGGUCGAUCAACGUUCCUUCUGGUUCGUGCACUCGUCCGGCCACCGUGCCAGCAUCGUUUCCGGCGGCGGGAGAAAGGCGAGCGGAACGUGGCUCCCCUCGGGGAGUGUUAUAGCCGCGCGCGCAAUGCCGCCUGUCGGGAGCGAGGACCGCGCUUCGUGCAAGGAUGCUGGCCUAAUGGUUGUAAGCGGCCCGUCUUGAAACACGGACCAAGGAGUCUAACAUCUACGCGAGUGUUCGGGUGGAAAACCCGCGCGCGAAAUGAAAGUAAACGGAGGUGAGAGCCCUUGUGGUGCAUCAUCGACCGAUCCUGAUGUCCUCGGAUGGAUUUGAGUAGGAGCGUAGCUGUUGGGACCCGAAAGAUGGUGAACUAUGCCUGAAUAGGGUGAAGCCAGAGGAAACUCUGGUGGAGGCUCGCAGCGGUUCUGACGUGCAAAUCGAUCGUCAAAUUUUGGGUAUAGGGGCCGAAAGACUAAUCGAACCAUCUAGUAGCUGGUUCCCUGCCGAAAUUUUCCCUCAG
rnacentral:rRNA from 1 species